rnacentral:rRNA from 1 species
UGAGGAAUAUUGGACAAUGGGUGGAAGCCUGAUCCAGCCAUCCCGCGUGUAGGAAGACUGCCCUAUGGGUUGUAAACUACUUUUUUGCAGGAAGAAAUCUAUUCACGAGUGGGUAGUUGACGGUACUGUAAGAAUAAGCAUCGGCUAACUCCGUGCCAGCAGCCGCGGUAAUACGGAGGAUGCGAGCGUUAUCCGGAUUUAUUGGGUUUAAAGGGUCCGUAGGCGGUAGAUUAAGUCAGUGGUGAAAUCCUACAGCUUAACUGUAGAAUUGCCAUUGAUACUGGUUUACUUGAAUUAGGUUGAAGUAGCUAGAAUGUGUAGUGUAGCGGUGAAAUGCAUAGAUAUUACACAGAAUACCGAUAGCGAAGGCAGGUUACUAAGCCUAUAUUGACGCUGAGGG